GAAAAAGUGAUUUCUGACAGGUCCUCGCACUUUUGACCGGUCCUCGCACUUAUGACUGGUCAUCAUUUAUGCCUGUUGCAGCAUUCUUAACAACCAUGUCACUCAUUUCACAACUGCGGUGCUUCAUGUGACCAGGUGGCCGUGGCCAGGUGGUCAUGUGGCAUCGCUUCUUUGCCCUAAUGACAGUUUGCUGCAUUGGUCAUAAGUGUGAAAAAUGGUCAUAAAUCACUUUUUCCAGUGCCAUUGUAACUGUUGUAAAUCAAGGAUUACCUGUACAAAAAUACAAAAAGCUUCUUUGCUUGCAAAGCAAAGAAUACCAAUCCUUAAAUACCAAUCAUUAGAUUAGAAAUAUUUGCAAACUGGAGUUACAAAUCAGGGAGGGUACCAGAGCACCUUCAGGAAUUAAAAUAAUUAAAAUGCAAUGAUAACUAUCAGCAGCCAACUCUUGCUCAUAAAGUGAAACCCUUUAGCAGAGAGGUCAUUUAAGCUCUCCAGAAUGAAGCAAAGGAGCAAACAGAGUAUCUGUUGUUUGUUAAACCAAUUACCAGAACAAACAGACAUAGAACUAGUCAGAUUUCCGAAACUACUUCUUUUCAGGAACAGAGAUUAACAUUUUUCCUUCCAAACAAAGCUGAGUAGGGAAAAUUAUCUCAUCACUAAACACAGGAUUAAACAUCACCAAGCACAGAAUUAAACUUCAGCAAAAACCAGUUUUGACCAAAAGUCAGAAAGGGUAUGUAAACUCACGUUUGAAAGUCAAUCUUUCUAGCUAGCCAAGAAGCCUUGCUGAAUGUCACUCAUCUUGGUUUCUUGUCAUUAAAAGCUUCUACUCCGUUAUUCAAUUAUUUCUUCAAAGUGCUGAUCAUUGCAUCCCGGCUGGAAGAACUUGAACAGGGGAGUUUUUCCUCCCAACAGCGGUGUAAAACGCUUAAAACAACCCUUGCCCUUUAAGAAAGUCAAGCAAAAAAAAAAAAACCUCCGGAACCGGAAGCGACAGUAAGUCUAGGCAUACUGCCGGAGAGGCAGUUUCUAUAAGCAGGGCAAUAAAGAUUAGGCUAGGAAACAACACCGAAUGUUGUAAUUCCUUACAGGAUUAACCCUGUAAAGUGGGAAAAAACAAAAGGAGAUUUCUUUUAACAACCAGUUCUCCUAACUACUUAACAACCGGUUCUACCGAACCGGUGCGAACUAGUAGAAUCCCACCACUGGUUGUGGUCUACUUUGUUGAAUGCCUUACUGAACUCUAAGUAUACAGAAUGACAAAGCCUAAAAAAGGUGUUGAAAAGAAUUAACACUUUUUUGUACACUAUAUUUCACUAUGCUAUAUUAUACUAACAGCUUGCAGGUUUUUGGAGUUGUCUGAACAUAAUUCAUUUUUCAGGAAUUUUAGAGAUUUGCUGCACCCUUAAUAUCUGUGAUAAUAUUGAUACAAUGAUACAGAAAGGUUCCUAGAACAGAGGAAGAAUGGUACAUACAUUUGAAGUAGAAAAAACUUUCAGAACAAGUGCGAUCAUCUUAUGAAUAUAAGGCCCCACUGGCUUCAUACUAUGAAGAUUAUAUCACUGUAUUUUUAAAGGCUGGUAAGGAUCCUGCCCAUUACCAUAUUUUUUGGACUAUAGGACGCAUUUUUUUUUGUCUCCCAGAAGAGGGUGAAAAUGUCUGUGAGUCUUAUACACCGAAUAUUGCCGAAGCCCCACCCACCUGCUGGCCAUUUUUUGGCCUCCGUACGGCCUGUUUCUGGCCUUUUUCUGGCCUUUUUUUUUUUUUGCCUGUUUUCAAAAAUGGACCAAAAAAACCCUUAAAAAUGGACCAAAAUAAGCCUCGAAAACAGGCUGAAAAAGGCCUCAAAAAACGGGGCCUCAAAAACAGACCCCAAAAAACCCUCAAAAAUGGACCAAAAAGGCCUCAAAAAUGGGCCCCCAAAGCCCCCAAAUUGGGCCAAAAUAAAGCUGAAAAAGUGGGCUGAAAAAAGCUUCUAAAAUGGGCAGAAAAAAGGCUGGAAAAGAGCCGAAAAAAGAUCUGAAAAAAGGGCCAAAAAUGGGGCGCGUGGAGGCAAAAAACUUUUUUGUUGUUUUCCUCUUCUAAAUAUAGGUGCGUCUUAUAGUCCGAAAAAUAUGGUAUAUAAAUUGAUUGAUUAUGUGCCAUGAAGUUGUUUUUAUUCCUAAUAACUACAUAGGUUUUCUAUCCCUAAUCUGUUCUUUCAAGUCUCCCAAUGGUGUACUCAAAUCUUGCAAGUUUAGUCUUCCUAUAGAAUAUUAAUCCUGCAGCUCAUGCAAUUACCUGAUUGGAGGAGGAGAAAGAGUCUUCUUUGGGCAAAAUUUUCAGUAACAAGGAGUGCCUUUGAUUAAUGUUUCUAUUUCUUUGAAGUAAAUAGAAGCAAGAAUUUGGAUUCUGAUAAGAACAGAAGCAAAAAUGUGCAUUUUGAUAAGAACUGGUUCAAAGGGACUAGAUGCUAGAAGUGCUCAGAAGGUGAACUCUAGUGAACUCAAAAAUUCAUAAUAAUGUAAAAAACACAGGAUGGGUUUUCUUCACUAAUAAUUGAAAUGGAGGUAGAACUCAACAAGAAUAUUGUCUGUUUUCUCUAAUUUGUAAUAUGGUUUUGGAACUUCUAUCAUGCCUAAAGAGACAAAUUCAUGGAAUUUGGAGAAUUUGUGUAACUGAAUUUGUAUUUAAGAUAUUGGAUAAGAGGGUUUUUUUCUCCAGUGAAUAUAAAAUCUUUAUGUAAAAUUUAUAAAGUACAGUUAUAUGGUUGAUUUCUGUGUAAUAAAUACAUAAAUUGGGGUAAGUAGUAUUAUGUCAAAAUUCUGACAACUGUUUAGAUUUUUUAUAUUGUCCAGAAGUCAUACCCACAGAAAAGCAUCCAGAUUGGUAGAUAAAUACAUUUGAAAACAUUGCCCACAUGAAAGAUUUGAAACAAUUUUUUUUAACAGCCCCCUUCAAAUUUACAAAACUGAAAAAAUAAAUAUGUCAUAGAUUUAAAUGCACGGUUUCAAGUGGUCUUGGUGAUAGUUCUAGUAUUUUAUUCAGGCUUGUUUUUGGAAUAAUACUGUUAAUUACCACAAGAUGGUACUGUGCCUUGAUAACUCAUAUUUUCUUUACAACUAACAGAAUUGAUAUUUUAAAUUUAAGGAGUUAAUUAAAUUUUAAGAAGACUGAAAGAUUCCUCUGGCCAGAUCAGUUUAAUGGACAGUAUAUAGUUAAAAUGCUGCCUGUCUCAAUAUGCCCUCAUGGUCUUUUGCAAAAUGCCAAAUAUAUGGGAGCAAACGUUGGAUAUUCAGAAAUUCUAGGAUGCAGACGUAUUGAUACUACUGUGGAAUCGUUUUAUCAGGAUCGGUGAAAUCACAACUAAAAGUCAAGCAAUAAUAUAUAUGAGAGUUUGGUGUCAAGCUAUGUGGUGUAGUUUUGGUGGUGGUGUCUGAAUAGUCAACUCUUUGAGGUAGGAUAAGCUGCCAAACUCUCUAACUUAAUUCUGCCACUUCUUGGUGAUCUAGCAAUUCCGGUACUUCACCAAAUUCAUAAUGUUCUACAAAGUAUUUUUCAGUAUGGUCACUGAGUUAUGCAGUAUCUUUACUAUGUUGACAUUUGAGAUUAGGUGUUAGACGUUGUAGGAUUGGUAUAGCUAAUUUUAGGUAGAGAUGCCUCAUUUUGUUGACAACCUUCAUUUUGCUUUUAGAUAUUUUCUCUUUAGGCCGCUCCUUUUUGCUCAUCCUUUUGCCCUAAAAUUCCUGCAAGGCUAAGUGAUAGCUUUAUCAAGGAACUCAUACCAGGCCAGCAGUUCCUGUUGCAGAUAAACUAACUAGAAAAUUUUGAAUAUUAAAUUAACGGCCGUAUCAGUUAUAGACAGAAAGGCGAGCACUGUAAUAUUUUAUUAAUGAAUCCACCUUCUGGGAGGGUCAUCCUCUACCCUGGGUGUGAAUACUUUGUUGCUUGUUGCUUUAAUAAUCAUGUGUCUUUAUUUUUCAAAAGUGUAUAAAAGCUAUGCUAAUUUGUGUACUGGGGCUUUGGAUUUGUGAUUUAGUCUUGAAAGCACAUGAGACUGCUGUACAAAAUAAACAGGUUGCCAUUUCUA